rnacentral:rRNA from 1 species
UAGGGAAUCUUCCACAAUGGACGCAAGCCUGAUGGAGUAACGCCGCGUGAGUGAAGAAGGUCUUCGGAUCGUAAAACUCUGUUGUUAGAGAAGAACAUGCAGGAGAGUAACUGUUCUUGUAUUGACGGUAUCUAACCAGAAAGCCACGGCUAACUACGUGCCAG